rnacentral:tmRNA from 1 species
GGGGAUGAAAGGUAUCGACGGAAAAGGUUGACCCCGGAUUGCGAGCCGAGAGGCGCCGUUCUCGUUAAAUCAGCGCAAAACCUUAAGUGCCAACCGCACUGAAUAUGCUGCCCUUCCCCUUGCUGCAUAAGCCUGGGUAAGGCAGACGAUUACCUCAAGGUAAUCUCGUUCACCUCCCUCAAUCUCCUGCUGGUGGAGAGUGAACGUCAGAAAGCAGGAGUGCUGUCGGGCGACGCCGCUAAACCGACUCAAGAGGGGCUUUCGGGUCCCAGCGGCUAAUCAGCAGACACUUUGGGCAGUUGUAGUCCUGCUGGUAAAAACGAACAAUUGCCUACGCUCGUAGACGUCUGAGUGGUUGAAUUUUUCGGACGCGGGUUCGAUUCCCGCCAUCUCCACUU